CGGGAUAGCUCAGCUGGUAGAGCAGAGGACUGAAAAUCCUCG
rnacentral:tRNA from 3 species